UACGUAGGGUGCGAGCGUUAAUCGGAAUUACUGGGCGUAAAGCGUGCGCAGGCGGUUUUGUAAGUCAGAUGUGAAAUCCCCGGGCUUAACCUGGGAACAGCGCUUGAGACUGGCACGCUCGAGUUCGGGAGAGGAUGGUGGAAUUCCCAGUGUAGAGGUGAAAUUCGUAGAUAUUGGGAAGAACACCGAUGGCGAAGGCAGCCAUCUGGACCGACACUGACGCUGAGGCGCGAAAGCGUGGGGAGCAAACAGG
rnacentral:rRNA from 1 species